rnacentral:rRNA from 1 species
AUUGAACGCUGGCGGCAGGCCUAACACAUGCAAGUCGAGCGGGCGGCGGACGGGGGAGGAAUGUAUGGGGACUGCCCGCUAGAGGGGGGUAUCUCCUGGAAAAGGUAGCUAAUACCGCAUACUAUCGGAUAACCCAUAUGGGAUUUGCUAGUAGGUGGGGUAAUGGCUCACCAAGGCGACGAUCCCUAGCUGGUUUGAGAGGGUGAUCAGCCACAUUGGGACUGAGACACGGCCCAGACUCCUACGGAGGCAGCAGUAGGGAAUAUUGCACAAUGGGCGCAAGUCUGAUGCAGCCACGCCGCGUGAAUGAAGAAGGUCCUAGGGUUGUAAAGUACUGUCAGUCGGGAGGCGUUACCGAAAGAAGAAGCACCGGCUAACUCCGUGCCAGCCGCCGCGGUAAUAC